rnacentral:rRNA from 1 species
UACGUAGGGGGCGAGCGUUGUCCGGAAUUACUGGGCGUAAAGAGAGCGUAAGCGGCACUACAAGUCUCAUGUGAAAUACCCGGGCUUAACUUGGGGGUUGCAUGGGAAACUGUAGAGCUUGAGUACAGGAGAGGCAAGCGGAAUUCCUAGUGUAGCGGUGAAAUGCAUAGAUAUUAGGAGGAACACCAGUGGCGAAGGCGGCUUGCUGGACUGAAACUGACGCUGAGGCUCGAAAGCGUGGGGAGCAAACAGG